rnacentral:piRNA from 1 species
UAUGGGUUUAUUCAAUUUACC